CUGAAACCGUAUGCGUACAAGCAGUCAGAGCCCCUUCGUGGGGUGAUGGCGUACCUUUUGUAUAAUGGGUCAGCGACUUACGUUGUGUGGCGAGCUUAACCGUCUAGGGGAGGCGAAGGGAAACCGAGUCUGAAUAGGGCGCAUAGUCGCACGGCGUAGACCCGAAACCGGGUGAUCUAUCCAUGCCCAGGGUGAAGGUCCGGUAACACGGACUGGAGGCCCGAACCCACUCCUGUUGCAAAAGUAGGGGAUGAGGUGUGGAUAGGAGUGAAAAGCUAAUCGAACCCGGAGAUAGCUGGUUCUCCUCGAAAGCUAUUUAGGUAGCGCCUCGUGUAUCACUGUUGGGGGUAGAGCACUGUUAUGGCUAGCGGGUCAUUGCGACUUAGCAAACCAUUGCAAACUCCGAAUACCAACACGUGCAAGCACGGGAGACACACGGCGGGUGCUAACGUCCGUCGUGAAAAGGGAAACAACCCAGACCCGCAGCUAAGGUCCCAAAGUCAUGGCUAAGUGGUGAACGAAGUGGGAAGGCAUAGACAGCCAGGAGGUUGGCUUAGAAGCAGCCACCCUUUAAAGAAAGCGUAAUAGCUCACUGGUCGAGUCGGCCCGCGCGAAAGAUUUAACGGGGCUAAGCCAUGCACCGAAGCUCGGGGUUUACUCUUCGGAGUAAGCGGUAGAGGAGCGUUCCGUACGCCUAUGAAGGUGGAUCGUAAGGUCUGCUGGAGGUAUCGGAAGUGCGAAUGCUGACAUGAGUAACGAUAAGGGGGGUGAAAAGCCUCCCCGCCGAAAGCCCAAGGUUUCCUAGCGCAACGUUCAUCGGCGCAGGGUGAGUCGGUCCCUAAGGCGAGGCGGAAACGCGUAGUCGAUGGGAAGCUGGUUAAUAUUCCAGCACUUUAUCGCAGUGCGAUGGGGGGACGGAGAAGGGUAGGUGUACCGGGCGUUGGUUGUCCCGGGGAAAGGAGGUAGGCAUGAGGCGUAGGCAAAUCCGCGCUUCUUUAUGCCGAGCACCGAGACGAGACCUUUUAGGACGAAGUCACUGAUCCCACGCUUCCAGGAAAAGCCUCUAAGCUUCAGCUGCGAUAGAACCGUACCGCAAUCCGACACAGGUAGGCAGGGUGAGAAUCCCAAGGCGCUUGAGAGAACUCGGGUGAAGGAACUAGGCAACAUAGCACCGUAACUUCGGGAGAAGGUGCGCCUGAGAGUGUGGCUACAUGCGUAGCUGAGCAUUCCCAGGCCGCAGUGACCAGGCCGCUGCGACUGUUUAUCAAAAACACAGCACUCUGCAAACACGAAAGUGGACGUAUAGGGUGUGACACCUGCCCGGUGCCGGAAGGUUAAUUGAUGGGGUCAGCCGCAAGGCGGAGCUCUUGAUCGAAGCCCCGGUAAACGGCGGCCGUAACGAUAACGGUCCUAAGGUAGCGAAAUUCCUUGUCGGGUAAGUUCCGACCUGCACGAAUGGUGUAACGACAGCGGCGCUGUCUCCACCCGAGACUCAGUGAAAUUGAAAUCGCUGUG
rnacentral:rRNA from 1 species